rnacentral:lncRNA from 1 species
CCAUCUUCAGAUCAUUAAAUGCAAACUUUCGAAGCCGAGAAGAAACUUUAAGUUCCUCUUCAAGUUUGGAGGUGGAUGAAUUACUUUCAGCAUUACUAGUAGUUGUAGAUGAAAUAAUUGGAGCAACAGGUUGAUCUCUGCUUGUCCCUUCACCAAGAAGGGAUUCUGGUCUAAAGUUUCUUGUUGCCAUCUUCAGAUCGUUAAAUGCAAACUUUCGAAGCCGAGAAGAAACUUUAAGUUCCUCUUCAAGUUUGGAGGUGGAUGAAUUACUUUCAGCAUUACUAGUAGUUGUAGAUGAAAUAAUUGGAGCAACAGGUUGAUCUCUGCUUGUGUCAUUCGUAGAUUUACUCUCUGCAAAAAAGGAUUAGAAUAUAGGCAGAUUUAUUCUUUUAAAUAGAAAGAUAAGAAGUUAAAGCAUGUCAAUUUUU